rnacentral:lncRNA from 1 species
GCUGGACUUGGCGUUCUACCCUACUCAUUCCACAGACUGUUCCUGGGGCCAGCCCACCCUUGUCUGCUCCUUUCCUUUUCUCCUUAACCCUCCCACACCACUUAAACCCCACUGCUUUGCCCUCUAAGUCCCAAGUCACGUCUGAUUUUCAUCUUUUCAUUCCACUCCGAUCCUUCCUCUGCUCUCAGGUGACUUACCGCACUGACCUUCUGCUGAUCUCACUGGCUCCAGCCACCAGCCAUGAUCCUAAGUCUUCACCAUGAGCAACGCUCACGCACAGGCAGAAAGAGCCCACGGGUUCUUAUGAGGAUUAAGAAAAGGACCAACUUGCAAGUGGCUGACAAAUGUGCUUGCGUGACAGGGUGAUCCUGCUCAGAACACGCCCUGCUGGCUGGGGUUAGAGUCCUUCCUAACUGGGGCCCCAAUCUUUCCAGCCACCUGUCCACUAGAUUCCCCACUUCUGUGCCCCUCACCAAAUGCUACUGGAACAAAUCUUGCUAUUUGCCAUCACUGCGUCCUGGCUUCAAACUGGCGUGUUCUGUUAGUGAAACCAGGACACCAUGAGACUGAGGUGGCUGAAACCAGGACACCAGGAGACUGAGGUGGCUCUAAUGCCUUAACCUAGGUCAGCAAACCCAAAAUCAAGCCCGUAAAUGCGUCCAGGUUAAGAAACGGAAACCUAAGUUCAAAGGAUGGGAACAGACAGCAAGACUUUCUCACAUACGGUGUCCCUUUUAAGCAAUGGCCUAUCAGGACUUCCCUUGCUUUGCUUCCUACAGCUUCUCUAUGAAAACCUCGCCCUGGUUGGUCGACCCCUUCCAACCACUUCCGGUUUGGCACUUCCUGAUUCCAAUCGAGGUUUGUUCAAAUAAACUCGAAAAUGUUAACAUGUCCCAGUUUACCUUUUCACGGUUCCUUCAGCGUGGAAGCCUUUUCCUCCUUCCGUCUGCUUGCCAGAGUUCUUCUGCACGCUCAAGCUAGGCGAAACCUCACCUCCUCCAAAGAGCCUGUGCCCGGACUGAGUCACUCCUUCCCUCCCUUGUCAGCGCAUCACACGGAGUCUGCGCAGCUGUGUCUGGGUGGCUGGAAUGGGAGCAUGACAGCUGAAGCUCAAGGAACCAUCCUGAACAGAGAGGUGGAAGACUGUGGUGAAAAUGACAGAACAUCAAGAGAAAUGUUUCCUGGGUCUUUGAUAAUUAAUGAGCACCAUGCCAACCUAUACUGUUUCUCUCCAGACUUACUUCAUAAGAAAGAGGAAUACAUUCAUACCUUGUUUAAUACAACAUUUGAUCUCUGGAAAUGGCUUUUUGCACGUCAGAAAUCAGCUGAAGGACACUGCCUGCACGGUUUCCAAGGCUAUUAAGUAAGCCUCCAUUCAACUGAGCCAUUUUGAACUGGCUUCAGAGUACAAAAACCCGAAAAUCGAAGACCAUUAAAACAAUGCCUGGAAGAAUUCUGAUGGGUUCUUCAGUAAUAGUGGUCACUUGGGUUCUGGAGUCUCGACAUAUCCUUCCUCCAGCCCUUAAAGUCAACAUGGAACACAAAAUCACAUGUGCCCCGAGCCUGCAACAUUGCUAGGAGACAGGUCUCUCAACAAACUCCAAAACGUAAAAAGAGCAACAAGCACCAAAUUUCAGCAGAGAUGCUGUGGGAGUGCUUGUGGGGUGGGGAGAAGGGGGAGGGAAAUCCUGCCACUGUGUGGAGGGGGCCACCAGGAAAGUCUAGGACAGUGAGCAGACCAGAUCCUUAAAAGAGAUGGCUUCCAGAGCAAAAGAGAUAAAGAUAUGCCAAAGAAGGGAAGAAAAGCAUUUAGAGGCAUGAGGAUUGGAAGAGAAAAGUUUUACUUCUUUUUCCUUUUGUGUGAUUGAUGCUAAUAUAACUGGAAAUUAAAUAAUCAGUGCUUGCCCCAAUGCAAAAAAUGAAAGAAUCCAACAAUGGAGCAGGUUGUACUGUUGCCUUGUGUGAAACCAAUCCCUUUGAAGGGCAUAUCACUCCUUGGAUAUUCUGCCCCCAAACCUACAACCCCAGUCUGGUUUCAAGAAAAAUAUUAGACCCAAAUUGAGAGGCAUUCAGCAAAAUGCCCAACUAGUACUCCCCAAAACUGUCAUCGUCAUGAACUAUAAGGAAAGGUCAAACAAUUGUCACAGACCAGAGGAGGCUAAGUGGAAACACGACUGCUAAGUGGACCAUAGCAUUAUGGGCGGGAUCCCGGAAUGGGAAGAGGACAUUGGGGGAAAAGCUAGUGAUACUCCGACAGCAGUGUAAAAAUGUUGGUGUUUUAGUUUAGACAAAGGUAACAUCAUAAUUGUGAGAUAUUCACCUUGGGGGAAACUGGGUGAACUGGGUAUGUUGUAACUCCGUUCUGUUGUAAGUUUUCUAUAAAUCAGACUAUUCUCAAAUUAAAAUUUUGUGUUCAAAAGAAUAAAUAGCCUUCCUGUAUACAAAUAAUAACCAGUUAUAGGAGAACCCCUAGGUACAAUAACCUCAAACACAUUAAAUACUUGUGCAGAAUCUAAAUGAAUAAAACAAUAAAAAU